rnacentral:lncRNA from 1 species
UACAGGUGGAGAAACUGAGGCUCAGAUAAAUGACUAAGAAGUAAAGUGAGGUCCCAUAGCCAGUGAAUGGCAGAGCAGGGAUUCGAACCCAGGUCUCUCAUCUGGGAAGUGGGAUGAUAGCGCCAACCUAGCUGGAUUGCUGUGACUGCCAGCACAAUGCCUUCUAAGGGUUCAAGAUGAGAUUACUUAGUCCCAGAUGGGUUAAGUAACUGGCCCAAGGUCACAGCGCUGGUAAGCAACUGGGCUUCAAUCCAACCAUCCUGACUCCAGAAGCCUCUUUGAACUACCACCUUCUGCACCUGCCCCAGGGCUUCUUCGCCUGAGCCGGUGCCUUGCUGCCGCCCUGCUCAUCUCUUCUGGGAAGAUGCCUCUCAUCUUGCCAGUCCUCAAGCCAGAAGCCUCCGGUGCUGCCCUAGGGCUCCCUGAAUAGGCAUCCCUAAGGCAUCCCUCCUGGUGUUCAAACCACAUCCUUCCUGGCUAAGCUUCCAUUCCCCAGGGUAGCCCUCCACACUUUGGAGCCUCAGCUCACCUCUCACUCUCACACUUCAGUUUCACACUUCCCUUCUGAAUGGUCCCACCUCUGUGCUUUUGCUUAAGCUGUGCACACUUCCCAGAGUGCUCUUUCCCCUAUGUCUGCCUGUGCUCCAAUACCCUAUGCCUGAGCUGAC